UACGUAGGGGGCAAGCGUUGUCCGGAAUCAUUGGGCGUAAAGAGCGUGUAGGCGGCCCGAUAAGUCCGCUGUGAAAGUCCAGGGCUCAACCCUGGGAUGCCGGUGGAUACUGUCGAGCUUGAGUCCGGAAGAGGCGAGUGGAAUUCCCGGUGUAGCGGUGAAAUGCGCAGAUAUCGGGAAGAACACCCGUGGCGAAGGCGGCUCUCUGGGACGGUACUGACGCUGAGACGCGAAAGCGUGGGGAGCGAACAGG
rnacentral:rRNA from 1 species